ACGGAAGUAAACAGUGACCAAGAACAAGUUCCCCGUUAGCGUUUUUAUUGUUAUUUAGAUAUUUCUUAAACACCGGUACUCAAAAUGAUUAAUUUAACUGCACAGCAUCUUACUUAGUGUUUAAUUCGCUUUAGAGACAACUCGAUAGGUGUUCUGGUAACGCUAGUUAGCUGCUAACAAUGGCUAACUGUUUGGUUUUUCACACUCAAAUAGCCUCCAUCAUGGAGGUGUUGGCGAAUACAGCCGUGGCUGAGAUCUGUAAACUCGUAGACGACGACUAUGCAGUGCUUCGUUUGGAAAUAACUCAAAGCCGGGAAGAGAACAGGACAUUGCGCAGGAAACUACAGCUACUGGAACUGAAGGUGUCACGGGAGCGUGUCUUUGCCAGACCUCCCAGUAGUGUCAAGAUCGUCGACCGAUGCAGAGGAAUGGCAAGAGGUGAAGGACAUCUCACUGGAAGCCACGGGAGCUUUGUGAACCCAGUGGGACAGAAUGCUUGGAGAGAUGACCAAACAAUCACUAAUGGUGAGGGGAGUGGAACCUCAACCCAGCACGUUAUCAUGAUAGAGUCUGCAGAGGCUGCAGGUCCUGGAGGAUCAUCUCUGGUGAAGCAGGAGAGGUCUGAAGGAGAGGAAGACAGACUGCACAGCAGAGACAUCCAGACUGGAGUAGCAGCUGGAACGCCCCCUGUAGCCACGGAUGACUCCACCAUUGCCCCAGCGCAGCCCUGGACCCGAAGCAUUGGAACGCUGAACGCCGUCCUCAAGUCAGAGACAGACAUCAAGACUUUAAUUGUAACACAAAGGCUCUUGCACACAGGAUCUGACCACAGAUCAGACCCAGAGAGAUUGGGGCCACUGGGUUGUCCUACUGCUCCCGGCUCAGAGUAUUUACCGGUAUUUCAAUAUAGCCAAAGGAUGGUUCAUUCCCAUGGAGAUGGUGACACGUUAGCCACUGGCGGUGAUGAUCUGUCUUGUUCUUACGCUACAGAGAUGGCCCCUGGCAACAUGCCCUUGGGUUUAGAGACACCAACUGAUCUGUCUAGAGGGAAAUGGAACCGGUACAGUAGUAGUGUAUACUCUGAAGGGUGCCUAGAUAAGAAAGGGGAGGGUCUGGUCAUAGAUGAAGUGACUGUGAAAGUGGAGGGAGAUGUUUCUCCCACAUGGAAUUCAGAUAAUCACCUGGGAGAUGGACACUCACAAGGCAGAGAUUUCUUAAAUUACAGGGAAAGGUUAGAGACAAAUCCAGAUGCCUCGACCCACUCCCCUUUACACGGGUUCAGGGAUUGCGUCCCAGUGUCCACGUCAAUGGGGCCUUCCGAUUCACACGGCCGCUUCCUUUUCGACAGGGCUAGACCCCAGGCUCAGGGAGGGGGAGAAACAUCAGGCAGUGGUAAGGGAAACCGGUUCCUCUGCAUGUUCUGUAACAAAGGCUUCAGCUGCCCCCAGAAGGUGGAGAUCCACCAGAGGUUCCACACGGGGGAGAAACCCUUUAGUUGUACUCAGUGUCACAUGCACUUUGCCCAGGCUGGUGACCUGAAGAGGCACCAGAGGAUCCACUCAGGGGAGAAACCCUACAGCUGUACCCAGUGUGAGAAGAGGUUCUCCCGCCAGGACCACCUGAAGAUGCACCUGAAGGUCCACACGGGAGAGAGGCCGUUCGCCUGUACGGACUGCGGGAAAAGGUUCUCGGACAGGAGCUACCUCAGUAUACACCAGCAGAAAAACCAUUCCACUCUAUAACAUAGAAAGUAACCAUUCCACUCGAUGGCUUCUGACAUUUAAAUCAAACCCUGCAUUAAAUACAAAGAUUAAUUUUCAUACUUGUCUGCAGAAAAGAGUGUACAAAACAUUAGGAACACCUGCUCUUUCCAUGACAUCAACUGACCAGUUUCCCAUGUGUAUCUAGAGUGAUCCACCACCCAAAGGACAUCUAGCCAACUUAGGCCAGCAUCCCUGUGGAACGAUUUCGACACCUUGUUGAGUCCAUGCCCCGAUGAAUUGAGGCUGUUCUGAGGGCAAAGGGGAGUGCAACUCAAUAGUAGGAAGGUGUUCCUCAUGUUUUUGGAACUCACUGUAUGUUAAUGUCAUUAUUUGUCAACAGUUACAUCACACCUAUCUGAUUUAAUUCAAAUUAGUUUGUCAAUGACAUGUUUGUUCUACAUUGUAUACAGUGAGCUCCAAAAAUAUUGAGACAGUGACACAUUUUGUGUUGUUCUGACUGUACUCCAGCACUUUGGACUUAAAAUGAUGUAAUGUCUGGGGUUAAAGUGCAGACUAUCAGCUUUAAUUUGAGGGUAAUUUCAUCCAUAUCGGGUGAACCGUUUAGAAAUUUCAGCACUUAAUUUUUUUUUUACAUAGUUUAGGGUACCAAAGUAUUGGGCAAAUUCACUUAUGUGUAUUAAAGUAGUCAAAGGUUUAGUAUUUGUUCCCAUAUUCCUAGCGUGAAAUGAUUACAUCAAGCUUGUGACUCUACAAACUUUUUGGAUGUUUGGGUUGUCUUUCAGUUUAUUUUCUGCCCAAUAGAAAUUAUUGGUAAAUUAAUUUGAAUUAGAUCAGAUAGGUAUGUUGGAACUGUUGCCAUAAAAUUACAUUUAAUAUAUUUUGCUAAAAAUAUGAGCGAAAGGUGAUUCCCCAAGCAAGUCUUGAACCCAGGCCACAAGCACCAAUGACGAAUGCCCUAACCACAGUCCCAACAAGGGAUAUCACUAGAACAUGUGCUUAUUGGGCCAGUAUUGUUACGCACUGUCCUGUCCCGAAGAAACCGUACCCCCUCCUCUCUCAGCACUUGUGAAGAGCUGAAACAACUUGAUAGGUGUAAGGCUGUAAGCAAAAGGGUGAAUGCACUUUGAAGUAAAUCUCAGCUCUGUUAAAGUACACUCGAAAAACAAAUUGAUCAUAGCGAUUCAGCAGUAUCUUUAAAUCAGGUUAACAUGCCCCACCAACAUUAGACAACUAUACUGAAAGCCCUUAUAUUGCUGAAAUAAAUACAUCUGGUCUGACUAACUGCUACAUGACACGGACAUUGGCUUUGCAGGAAGAUCGACAUACCGUGAACCAAGAGGUUGUGAGUUCAAAUUCCACGUGAGGACUGUUUUUAUUAUUAUUCAUGUAUAACGGAACAUGCAUAGUAUAAUCAUGUACGUCAAAGUGUGUCUAAAAUAUGUAAGUUGAAAACAUCGCGUGUAAGUAUCCCUGAACAGUCAUCGAGCUAUGAAUGGAUAAAAAGGUUAUAAGGUUUUUGCUGACAUAAAUAGAAUGUUCCCCUAACAGAAAACUGGACACUCAAACAUUAGGUGCACAUUGCAGGUAAGAUUUUAAAAAAUGUCUCUCUCUCCCUAGAACUGUUAGCUGGGUAUGGCCUUGUAAUCUGUAUCACCUCUCUCUUCCAGGAGGGUGCUGCUGGUGAAGGAGGAGGGGUGUGAGGAGGGUCUGGGGAACCCUGAAGGGACCAUGGUCAUGGAGGACA